UAGGCACUCAGAAUUCUCAUGACUCCAUGCUUGGGCUGUGUUCUGACAUGGCGCUAAAACUUUCAAUGCACCAGUCACAUCAGUGCCCCAGCCCCAGAUGGCAACUAAUGAAGAAACUCACAACUGGUCAGACAUCAUGGAAAAAAUACUGUGGAGGGCUCAGCUACAAAUGGUACAUCUGUAUCCAACCCCCUCUCCAAGAUUUCUUGGUCAUGGAAGAGGAAGCAGGAAGACUGAAAGAGCCAGAAUCCAGGAACAUCAGAGUGAAACAGUAUCUUCUGAACACGACAGAACUGCUGCAGUCAUGAAUUCAUAGCAGCUACAGACCUGCACAAAAUCAAGACAGGCAACAUUGUAGCACAGAGUGGAAGGGAGGGGUUCAUGAGUCUUUACUCCUAACAGAAAGGAACUAUGGAUAGUUGAUGGCUUCUGGAGGAGGAAGUCUCAGUUUUCUUUUUAGAAAAAUAAUAGAUUUAUUAAUUUUAUUUUAUGUAUAUGAGUAUAUUGUCUACAUGUAUGUUAGUCUGCUAUACGCAUGCCUGAUGCAUGCAGAGUCCAGAAGAGGUUGCUGGAUCCUCUGAAUCUGAAAUGCACAUCGUCAUUAGCAGGUGGAGGGUAUUGAGAAUCCAGUUCGUCUGGAAGAACAACAGCAGCAAGUCUCUGAACUUCCGAGCCAUCUCUCCAGUUCCCAAAGAGUCAAUUUUCUUUAAGGAUGUGGCUUCCCAUAGAUUGUCCACACUUUAGUGGUGUCUGAAUACUCAGAAAUACAUGGAUAACAUAUUGGAUUUUAUUGGUUAUCAAAUUUAUUUUAAAAAGAUAUGAAUUUAGGGGAGUAGGAAGGUGAAAGUGAAUCUAGGAAGAGAUAAGAGAAAGAGGUGGAUAUGGUCAUAAUCAAAAUAUAUUUCAUGAAUUUCUGAAAACUUGAUAAAAUAGAUAUUAAUAUAAAAUUUAAAGGGUAAGGAAAAAAGAGCCAUUGUCCAAGCAGAACAUGAAUAAAGAAGGGAGGCUGGGAGAAUGGAAAGAUCAAAGAAAAGGGCAAGCUCUUGAGUUUAGAGAUUGGGGGAAUGAUUGUGUUCUUUCUCUAAGUCGUGAGAGGCAGAUAUGUUUUGGGGGUGUGCGUUUGCAGAUUUGGUUUUGGAUAUGAAGAGUUGGGUUGGGUGUUCCUUAACAUUGAGAAAUCAGGUAGAAAUGAAAUCAUCUUUUCAGAGGUUGAGUAUGGAAAUCAAAGCCUUGGUCUACCAAAGACGGUACACGGUGACUCCCUCUGGUAGGUGGGUUCUUGAGUAAGCAUGAGUGACAGCUGGUCAAGCAGGCCCUCAACCCACUUCCAAUACAGAUUCUUAAGCUGAUGUCUAAACUCUGUGUUGCUACGCCAGCAAGAUUUUGCUGAAAGGACCCUGAUAUAGCUGUCUCUGGUGAGGCUAUGCUGGUGCCUGGCAAACACAGAAAUGGAUGCUCACAGUCAGCUAUUGGAUGGAACACAGGGACCCCAAUGGAGGAGCUAGAGAAAGUACCCAAGGAGCUAAAGGGGUCUGCAACCCUAUAGGUGGAACAACAAUAUGAACUAACCAGAACCCCUGGAGCUUGUGUCUCCAGCUGCAUAUGUAGCAGAAGUUGGCCUAGUCAGCCAUCAUUGGGAAGAGAGGCCCCUUGGUCUUGCAAACUUUAUAUGCCUCAGUACAGGGGAACACCAGGGCCAAGAAGUGGUAGUGGGUGGGUAGGGGAGUGGAGGGGGGGGAGGUAUUGGGAACUUUUGGGAUAGCAUUUGAAAUGUAAAUGAAGAAAAUACCUAAUUAAAAAAAAGAGAGAGAGAAAAUAAAGACACGAUACUUGACCCAUCCUCAAAUUGUUGUCUGUCAAAGUAUCAAAGAAAAUCGGUGGUAGGAGAGACAGAGGAAACUGGAAUGCAGAGGAAGACAGGAGGGAAAUAGAUAGUCAUUAACAUGUGGCUUCCUUACUACUAUUUGAUGCUAGCUGUAGAGGUAAACCUGUCCCACCUGUACUAGGCACAGAGCUUUGGAUGUAAAUUGAGUCUGCUUACCCUCAUCCUCCUAGAUGCCAGUGCUAGUGAAUGUAUUUUGUCAGAAAGGGUCAUAAACACAUCAUAAAACCUGACCUUUCCAAGAAAGGAUUAUCUAUAAAUAGCUGCCGUUAUCCCCUGGGUGCUAGGCAUAAGCCUGGUGGAGGGGCAGAGAACUGUUCUCAGCUCUGGGCAUCAUUUUCAGAGGUGAGUGGCAGUGAGACUUUGCAGAGGCUCAUCUACAAGUCCCUUUAGUCACCUACCCAUUUUCCUCCAUCAGGGCCACUGCUGCUUCCAUAGGGGCUCCACUCUCCUGCUUCACAGAGCCAUGGAAUGAGUCUACCAGGAAAAGAAUAUUAAGAUUUCUGUUUCUAAAUAUGUCACUGGUGAAGCUUCUUUUAAAUAUUAAUUGUGGUAAUGUUGAAAAUGCAUAAAAGAACUGACAAUCAUGCUUGUUCAGACCAUGGAAGGUUUAAUUUCAAACUGUGGUUUGGAAUUGCUAUUUUUUUCCCUUCGCUUAUAAGCAAUGGAUCAAUCAAAAUCCUUUCAUUGUAAUAAAAUAAGAGACUGU
rnacentral:lncRNA from 1 species